CUCCUCUGAGGGUGGCCGGGAACAGCCGCAUCCUAGGCGUUCCUGGCUGAUGUCAUAGGCUGCCAGCGGUCGCGGAGUACCGCCACCACGCCUUUAUGAAGGUCCCAAGUUUGCUAUCUGAUCCUCUUUACUACUGACAGGAGAUCAGCCAAUCAGGAGCGGUGAGCGGGGCCUGGGGACCAGACGCGGCCCCAGGAGUCUUAACAGCCGGCUCUUAACUCUUUGCAGAAUAGUGCGCCAAGGCUGCUUGCCCAGGCGGGAGUCUCUGCACUGGCACCCCUAAAUCGGAUGCCCGAAGGCUGCAGGCGGCGCCCGGCGUGCAGGUGGCGCCUGGCGACGAUCUGACCACUUCUUCUCCCUUCACACACUCUGAGAACGCAUUCUAGGAUCUGUCUGUGUCACCAAGGGCCUCUCGGAAGGACGGACGGUUUUCAGACCUCCCCCAUGCUGCAGGGGGUUCUGCUGAGCCUUGGAUGAGUCUUGAUCACAGAAGUAUACUUCAGCUUCAGCAAGACAAGUGGAAGAGGAAGCCCAGCCAACAGUCACACUGGUCCACUCUUCUUUUGAAGAAAUGGGAAGAUCUGAGGCAAGUACAGUGUUUAUUGCAUGAAUCUAAACUCCAUUUUUUUCCCCUAUUGUGGUGAUGAAAUUCUCAGACCAAAGUGACUUAGGAGAAUGGGUUUAUUCCAGCUUCCAUUGAGAGUUGCAAAGCAUGAUGGGAAGUAAACGGCAGUAGGAGUUCGAAGCACCUGGUCACAUAUCAUUUGUACAGAAGGAAAGGAUAGUGAAUGCAGACAGCCUGGUGUCCAGCUCUCACAGAGGAUGAUCUUAGCUAUGCAAUUCACCAGUAACAGUGGCCAAGUCUUUCCACCUCAAUUAACAGCAUCAGCACCAUCCCCGCUUCCACACACAAGCCUGCACUGCACGUGGUCUCACAGUGCUUCUAGAUUCUGUCCGAUUGGCAACAUGAACGGCCGAAUCCAUUAACAAUAACGUGGAAGUGAUGUGUGGAUGGAUUCUUGCCAACUUUGAAAAUGACAAGAUAAAAGAUGUAUUCUUGCUAUUACCCUGAGUGACUGUGAGGAUCAAAGUCUGAAACCAGGGGGACAAUGAAAAGCAUUAAUGUCCCAGUUUCAGAGAGAGUGGCCAUGAGUUUAUACCUCUUUGUAGGUGACCUGUUAUCUAACUGGCCUGACUCAGGGCACAUUUCAAGUCUCUUUUGAAGUUUGUUGAUUGAAUGGGUGAGCCUCCAGACUGUGUGUGUGUGUGUGUGUGUGUGUGUGUGUGUGUGUGUGUGUGUGUGUGUGUGUCUGUGUGUUGCUUUUAUUUUCAUCUUUAUGUGGUGGCUGUGUGAUGGGUAUGAGAAUUCUUAGUGUUUUCAAAGCUUGCUCCUGCCAUUUUGAGACUGAGAAUUCCUGAAUCCCGCUGAGAAGCGACUAUUAAAGCUACCGUCGGGUAGAAGCCUGUUCUGUUCCCUGCUUGGCAUCUCAUCUCUGCUGAUAGGAUUCCCGAGAAGAAAGGCACAUAGUAGAUUUAGACAUCGUGAACUCCAGAUUUAGAAACAGUAAAAUAAAAUAAAAUAAAAUAAAAUAAA